AGGGGCAUAAUAUAAUGGUAGUAUGACGGUCUCCAAAACCGUUCGUCUGGGUUCGAAUCCUUGUGCCCCUGCCA
rnacentral:tRNA from 1 species